rnacentral:rRNA from 1 species
CUAUGCGCCUUGCCAGCCCGCUCAGUCAGAGUUUGAUCCUGGCUCAGGACGAACGCUGGCGGCGUGCUUAACACAUGCAAGUCGAACGGGAUUUAGUAGACAGAAGCCUCGGUGGAAGAUUACUAAUGAGAGUGGCGAACGGGUGAGUAACGCGUGAGCAACCUGCCUAUGACAGUGGGAUAGCCUCGGGAAACCGGGAUUAAUACCGCAUAAAAUCGUGGAAACACAUGUUUCAACGGUCAAAGAUUUAUCGGUCAUAGAUGGGCUCGCGUCUGAUUAGCUAGUUGGUGAGAUAACAGCCACCAAGGCGACGAUCAGUAGCCGGUCUGAGAGGAUGAACGGCCACAUUGGAACUGAGACACGGUCCAA